rnacentral:rRNA from 1 species
GGGCACCACCAGGAGUGGAGCCGGCGGCUUAAUUUGACUCAACACGGGAAAACUCACCCGGCCCGGACACUAGGAGGAUUGACAGACUGACUAGCUCUUUCUUGAUUCAGUGGGGGGGGGUGCGUGGCCGUUCUUAGUUGGGGGAGCGAUUUGUCUGGUUAAUUCCGAUAACAAACGACACUCUAGCCUACUAGUUAGCCGGCCCGGUCGUUAUGCGCCCGGGCAGCGAGCUUCUUAGAGGGACAGACGGCGAGUAAGCCGUACGAGAUAGAGCAAUAACAGGUCUGUGAUGCCCUUAGAUGUCCGGGGCCGCACGCGCGCUACACUGAAGAGAUCAUCGUGCAUGUGCUUCCUACUCCGAAAGGAGCGGGAAACCGAGUGAACCUUUUUCGUGCUUGGGAUUGGGGAUUGUAAUUAUUCUCCAUGAACUAGGAAUUCCCACUAGGCACAAGUUAUCAGCUUGUGUUGAUUACGUCUCUGCACUUUGUACACACCGCCCGUCCCUACUACCUAUUGGAU